UCCUGUCUCUAACCUACCACUGAUUUUGAAGAAUGCAGGAUUCAAACUGGAGAACGAGGAUUGUAACGACCUGAUAAAACAGCUGUCGGUCGAUGAGAAUGAAAUGGUUGACUUAAGUGUGUUAAUGAAUUUAGCAAAAGCUUUUACUGGCGAGAAGGUUGGAACUGAUAAUCUGAAAGCUGUGCUGAGGAAAAUGGGACUGGUACUCCCCGACAGUGCAUACAAGGAACUGCAGAAGGCCCUGUCAGCUUACG